CACGUAGGGUGCGAGCGUUGUCCGGAAUUAUUGGGCGUAAAGAGCUCGUAGGCGGUGUGUCGCGUCGGCCGUGAAAACCUGCAGCUUAACUGUGGGCGUGCGGUCGAUACGGGCAUCACUGGAGUUCGGCAGGGGAGACUGGAAUUCCUGGUGUAGCGGUGAAAUGCGCAGAUAUCAGGAGGAACACCGGUGGCGAAGGCGGGUCUCUGGGCCGAUACUGACGCUGAGGAGCGAAAGCGUGGGGAGCGAGCGGG
rnacentral:rRNA from 1 species